GUGGGGAAUAUUGGACAAUGGGGGGAACCCUGAUCCAGCCAUGCCGCGUGUGUGAAGAAGGCCUUUUGGUUGUAAAGCACUUUAAGCGAGGAGGAGGCUACCGAGAUUAAUACUCUUGGAUAGUGGACGUUACUCGCAGAAUAAGCACCGGCUAACUCUGUUCCAGCAGCCGCGGUAAUACAGAGGGUGCAAGCGUUAAUCGGAUUUACUGGGCGUCAAGCGCGCGUAGGUGGCCCAUUAAGUCAAAUGUGAAAUCCACGAGCUUAACUUGGGAAUUGCAUUCGAUACUGAUUGGCUAGAGUAUGGGAGAGGAUGGUAGAAUUCCAGGUGUAGCGGUGAAAUGCGUAGAGCUCUGGAGGAAUACCGAUGGCGAAGGCAGCCAUCUGGCCUAAUACUGACACUGAGGUGCGAAAGCAUGGGGAGCAAACAGGAUUAGAAACCCCGGUAGUCC
rnacentral:rRNA from 1 species